AACGAGGAUUCCCCUAGUAACGGCGAGUGAAGCGGGAAGAGCUCAAAUUUGAAAUCUGGCGGCCUUGUGGCCGUCCGAGUUGUAGUCUGGAGAAGCGUUUUCCGCGUCGGACCGUGUACAAGUCCCUUGGAACAGGGCGUCGCAGAGGGUGAGAAUCCCGUCUUUGACACGGACUGCCGAUGCUUUGUGAUGCGCUCUCGAAGAGUCGAGUUGUUUGGGAAUGCAGCUCAAAUCGGGUGGUAAAUUCCAUCUAAAGCUAAAUAUUGGCAAAAGACCGAUAGCGAACAAGUACCGUGAGGGAAAGAUGAAAAGCACUUUGGAAAGAGAGUUAAACAGUACGUGAAAUUGUUGAAAGGGAAACGCUUGAAGUCAGUCGCGUCCCCUGGGACUCAGCCUUGCCUUUUCCGCUUGGUGUUUUUCCUGGGGUUUGACGGGCCAGCGUCRAUUUCGACCGUYGGAGAAWGGCUUUGGGAAUGUGGCACCCUUUGGGGUGU
rnacentral:rRNA from 1 species